rnacentral:misc_RNA from 1 species
AUUGGUACCACCAAGUAAACCUUCAUUGAGAACUCCCAUUUCUAUACCUCCCGUUGAGCCUCCUAGUAGGAAUAAAGAAAAAAGGUUUACUUCAGAUGUGGGACAAAUCAAAACGAAAGAUGCAGGUGAUCAGCGUGAAGCUUCAGCACUUCGUGAUGAGCUUGAUAUGUUACAAGAAGAGAAUGAAGUUAUACUUGACAAGCUUCGUUGUGCAGAAGAAAGACGUGAGGAGGCUGAAGCUAGAGCUAGGGAGUGCUGCACUUGGAGAAGGUGUGUCCCUAGAAGCUAAACUGUUGAGCAGGAAGGAAGCAGCACUGCGUCAAAGGGAGGCUGCGCUUAAGGCUGCAAAACAAACUAAAGAUGGGAGAGAUGAAGAAAUUGCAGCCCUUCGCACCGAACUUGAGAGCUUGAAAGGAGGAGCUACUGCAGCUGUGGAACAGUUCCAAGAAGCAGAAGCUGAAGCUAAAGCUCUUCGCACAAUGACACAGAGAAU